GUAUAAUUUUUUUAGGUGAAUUUCUACACAAAUAUAUCAAGCAUUCCUUGCAAGGGAAGUGCAUCAAAUUGGGCCGAUCCUGCUAUGAUCAAUGGAGAAUAAAAGCUUUGAUCACUUGUCAAAUCAAUGUCUUUAACACAUUAGAUUCAUUAUGCCUUUACAUCCCUGCUGAUUUCAU